GUGUCAGCCGCCGCGGUAAUACGUAGGGGGCAAGCGUUGUCCGGAAUCAUUGGGCGUAAAGAGCGUGUAGGCGGCUCGGUAAGUCCGCUGUAAAAGUCCAGGGCUCAACCCUGGAAAGCCGGUGGAAACUGUCGAGCUAGAGUCCGGAAGAGGCGAGUGGAAUUCCUGGUGUAGCGGUGAAAUGCGCAGAUAUCAGGAGGAACACCAAUGGCGAAGGCAGCUCGCUGGGACGGUACUGACGCUGAGACGCGAAAGCGUGGGGAGCAAACAGGAUUAGAAACCCGGGUAGUCC
rnacentral:rRNA from 1 species